rnacentral:rRNA from 1 species
UACGUAGGGGUGCAAGCGUUGUCCGGAAUUAUUGGGCGUAAAGAGCUUGUAGGCGGUUUGUCGCGUCUGCUGUGAAAUUUCGGGGCUCAACCCCGAACUUGCAGUGGGUACGGGCAGACUAGAGUGUGGUAGGGGAGACUGGAAUUCCUGGUGUAGCGGUGAAAUGCGCAGAUAUCAGGAGGAACACCGAUGGCGAAGGCAGGUCUCUGGGCCAUAACUGACGGCUGAGAAGCGAAAGCAUGGGGAGCGAACAGG